GUAGUUUGCGUUAAUAUUACAACACUUGCUCUGCUUUCUUCUCCUCUGUUUCGCUUUUCAGGUUUACAUGUGUACUUCUGUCUCUCUUCGAUCCAUCCCUUCUCUGCAAUUAAAAAAUGUCCCUUUAAUACAAUUUCACCUUUCCAACUGAAACCCAAUUUUCGAUCUCUUUAAUUGGUCAUGGAAAUGGCCUCCAGUCGGCGAACCGUAGAUGAGAUCUUCGAUGAUUUCACUGCUAGAAGAGCUGGUAUUGUUCGUGCUUUAACUAACGAUGUGGAU
rnacentral:misc_RNA from 1 species